rnacentral:rRNA from 1 species
AGAGUUUGAUCAUGGCUCAGAUUGAACGCUGGCGGCAGGCCUAACACAUGCAAGUCGAGCGGAUGAGAAGAGCUUGCUCUUCGAUUCAGCGGCGGACGGGUGAGUAAUGCCUAGGAAUCUGCCUGGUAGUGGGGGACAACGUUUCGAAAGGAACGCUAAUACCGCAUACGUCCUACGGGAGAAAGCAGGGGACCUUCGGGCCUUGCGCUAUCAGAUGAGCCUAGGUCGGAUUAGCUAGUUGGUGAGGUAAUGGCUCACCAAGGCGACGAUCCGUAACUGGUCUGAGAGGAUGAUCAGUCACACUGGAACUGAGACACGGUCCAGACUCCUACGGGAGGCAGCAGUGGGGAAUAUUGGACAAUGGGCGAAAGCCUGAUCCAGCCAUGCCGCGUGUGUGAAGAAGGUCUUCGGAUUGUAAAGCACUUUAAGUUGGGAGGAAGGGCAUUAACCUAAUACGUUAGUGUUUUGACGUUACCGACAGAAUAAGCACCGGCUAA